AUUUAAAAGAAAAUGAAGAGAAUUAAAAAUAAAUAAAUGCUAAAGGAAAUGUGACUAAAAUAAUCAAAAAUAAAGACAAAGACUUAAUUUUUUUUUCCUUUUAUAUAAAAUAGAAUAAGAGAUUUUUUUUAAAAAAAAUUAUAUUUGAGAUUGAAAUGAAAAUCAAAUUAAAAGAUUUUUUUUAAAUAAAUGCAAUGAAC
rnacentral:lncRNA from 1 species